UACGAAGGGGGCUAGCGUUGCUCGGAAUCACUGGGCGUAAAGCGCACGUAGGCGGAUCUUUUAAGUCAGGGGUGAAAUCCUGGAGCUCAACUCCAGAACUGCCUCUGAUACUGGGGAUCUUGAGUCCGGAAGAGGUAAGUGGAACUGCGAGUGUAGAGGUGAAAUUCGUAGAUAUUCGCAAGAACACCAGUGGCGAAGGCGAGUCCCUGGACAACUCCUGACACUGAGGCACGAAAGCUAGGGGAGCAAACAGG
rnacentral:rRNA from 1 species